ACCAUGGCUAAAAUAUAUAUGGUUUGCUAUUCCGAACGACGAAAUCUCGUCCUGUUGGCGUCGAUACCGCAUGACGUCACGUAACCUUGCAAACACCCGUUUUCUGACAGAUCUGUGAUGCUUGUCAAGUUAAUCUGUCAUGUGAGUUAGGUUAAAAUGUGUUGCCAUUUGUGUUGCAAACAACAAUUUCCUCACUUUUCAUUAUAUUUUAUGAUGCCUUACGAUGAAAAUGUUAAUUAAUCAUGUACAUGUGAAAUUAUUUUAUUUAUUGAGUACGUGCCGAACGGGAAUACGAUACAAUAUAUUCACGUUCACAUGUGAAGUGCGGAAGUUGUUCCUGCUUUAUUUGUAAAAUACGCGUACAGUUUAUUAAAAGAUAAGUUGAAAUAAUUGUGAGUCGUUCAUGAUACUCCUUUCCACACCACAUACGAGGUAGAGUAACGGCGCGUUUUUUUUUUUUGUUUAUAGUGGUAUCCCCAGGAGGCCUAAUCCACUAUGAAAGCUCAACAUAAUACUACAUUACUGUAUGCGAUAAAACAAUUGGGAACUGUACUUGUAUACUGCUCCAAUAAAUUCGACAAGUCAACAGCUCUGGAGCAUAAGUGUAAAUUAAUGAUUUCCAUUGCACCAAAAAUUCAUGAGUUGUAAUGAGAAAUAUUACAUCAUCAACCCAGAAGUUGAAGUGUAUGGAUAACCAUGGCUUUAAAAAAACACUAGAAAACUUUCAAAGAUACUAAUAUAAAUGGGAACAAGAAAUAAAAUUCAAACAAGUGACAUAUCAACAAAUAGUAGUUCAUGACCAAUAGUGAACAUCUCCAUGCAAGUCGUUGAAAAAUGAUUUUUUGUUCAUUUCUCUUAUCCGAAUGAAUGUCCUUGUUCGGACCAAGCACAGCAAGACUUCUUCUGGAAUUUGGAUACUAUUUGAAUAAUGUUUCCAGCAAUUUCGCUGUAUUUAACAAAUCUGAACAAGGCAUCAAUAGUUUCCCGUUUGAAAGAAAUUGAAUCCAGUCACAGUCGUCUUUACUUGUAUCAGUCAAGUUUUCUGUAGGGGUACCAAGACCUGGAUAUUUUAGUCGGAAGCGAUGAGCUACAGACCCAGCCACAUAUUUAUGUGCCGCUAAAGUUAGAUGACUGUCUGGUAAUUGAACUCUUACUUCACUGGAGUCAUCUAAAAUUUCUAACUUGGCUAUAUCACCUUCCUCGUUUUCAUUUGAUGGUGCAUUAUAAAUACACUGCGUAUUUAUAAUCGAUGAAAACAGAGAUUCCGUUAAACAUAUCUCUUCGUCAUCAUCAUCUGCUCGGGUGCAUCAAAGUUAUAAUACACGGGCUGCUUCCAAGAGGAAAAUAGACCCCGACACAUCAUGACCUGUACCGUCUUAUGAGGCCCAAACACUUGUUCCAGUGAUCUAUCAAGACAGAUUUCAUCUUUAAUGAACAUCUCAUCGAAUGACAGGACAGUUAAACGUUCCAUUUCUGAUAAAGUUUUCGCCUUCUCUUUCAUUAAAUAUAACACAGAGUGUAGAAGCCCAGUAUUAAUUAUGAAAGAUGACGCCCAUUUUCUUAGAGUACUCAAUCCUGGUAGGGGCCAGUGGCAUUGUGUUCUUAAAUACCUGUAUGCUUUAGGGCUAACGCUACGCAAUGAAAUGGCAGCAGAGAUAUCAUUAGUUGUCCACUUAACUCUUUUCCCAGUAAUGAGGGCUUUGAUUUGACUUUUUGUGAAAAUCUUAGAUACAGCCUCGCUCACUUUAGCAUCAUAAUUUUUUUGUUUAACCUGUUGUUUUAAUAAAGCAUUCUCAGCUUCAGUUGCUUUAUUUUUUUCUUGCAACUGAAGCAGUUGCCCUUCUACUUUUUUAUAUUUUUCUUCCCAAUUUUCAUCACACUCUACCAGAGGCCUGACAUCAUCCCCAAAUAUGUUUUUUCUACAGUGUUUAAUAAGCGUACUAUUUUUGCUUGGACUCUGUAGCUUUUUUGGGGAUGGUGUUUCCAAAAUAGUGCCUACCUGAGUAGAACCUUUUUUACUGGGUGUAGUGCUUACACUUGUCGGCCUACGUUCUGUUGGAAGGGCAUCAGACUUCAAUCUUCUCCUGUUCUUAGGGCUGUAUUCCAACAGUUUGUGUUGCAUUGACUUCGACAAACUUUCUGCAGCAAAAUGCACAGAGCAUAUACGCGCUGAAAAUAACACUGCUAGAGAUGUUGUCAUCAAGGUAUAUGUAUUGUUGCUACCAGUUUUGGCAUUUACUGUAUCUUGUCUAUUACAGAACGAUACCCAUUCUUGACAAAGGUUUUGAUCCUUCGGGAACCUAAAAAAGUGUACAUUCGCAUCCUCCUUUUUCCUUUGGCUGUUCGAGCAGCCAAACACUGCACAGUGCACCAUUUUUAUUGUUCACUGUUAACCUUAACACCAGGAUAUUACAACACGUUUACGUUUCUAAAUAAAGUCAGUUCUGUUUGUUCACAAUUUGAGUCAUCUGUAUUAGGCACAAUAGUAAAGUUGCACUUUGUAAUCCUUUCCUUGCACGUUGCCGGUUUCUGACUGUUUGAUUCAGAAUUUACUCAUGGUAUGUUAUUUGUGUAUUAAAACAAGGUAUAUGAUUAUUGGGUAAUAAAGAAUUAAAAAUUAA